UCGNGCGGAACGAGUUAUCUGAACCUUCGGGGNACGAUAACGGCGUCGAGCGGCGGACGGGUGAGUAAUGCCUAGGAAAUUGCCCUGAUGUGGGGGAUAACCAUUGGAAACGAUGGCUAAUACCGCAUAAUGCCUACGGGCCAAAGAGGGGGACCUUCGGGCCUCUCGCGUCAGGAUAUGCCUAGGUGGGAUUAGCUAGUUGGUGAGGUAAUGGCUCACCAAGGCGACGAUCCCUAGCUGGUCUGAGAGGAUGAUCAGCCACACUGGAACUGAGACACGGUCCAGACUCCUACGGGAGGCAGCAGUGGGGAAUAUUGCACAAUGGGCGCAAGCCUGAUGCAGCCAUGCCGCGUGUGUGAAGAAGGCCUUCGGGUUGUAAAGCACUUUCAGUCGUGAGGAAGGUGGUGUAGUUAAUAGCUGCAUUACUUGACGUUAGCGACAGAAGAAGCACCGGCUAACUCCGUGCCAGCAGCCGCGGUAAUACGGAGGGUGCGAGCGUUAAUCGGAAUUACUGGGCGUAAAGCGCAUGCAGGUGGUUUGUUAAGUCAGAUGUGAAAGCCCGGGGCUCAACCUCGGAAUAGCAUUUGAAACUGGCAGACUAGAGUACUGUAGAGGGGGGUAGAAUUUCAGGUGUAGCGGUGAAAUGCGUAGAGAUCUGAAGGAAUACCGGUGGCGAAGGCGGCCCCCUGNACAGAUACUGACACUCAGAUGCGAAAGCGUGGGGGAGCAAACAGGAUUAGAUACCCUGNUAGUCCNCGCCGUAAACGAUGUCUACUUGG
rnacentral:rRNA from 1 species